CCCCUCUCAGGAUGGCACCUGGAGAGUUUCCAGUACUCUAUCAGCCUCAGCUCCAGGAGGGAGAGUUAAGCAGAGGCAUACCCAUUCUAUUCCUAGCUUGGGCAGUGACUAGCCAGUGGAAGGUGAUCUGCUACAAGU